GAGUUUGAUCGUGGCUCAGAUUGAACGCUGGCGGCAUGCCUUACACAUGCAAGUCGAACGGCAGCACGGGAGCUUGCUCCUGGUGGCGAGUGGCGAACGGGUGAGUAAUGCAUCGGAACGUAUCCUGGAGUGGGGGAUAACGUAGCGAAAGUUACGCUAAUACCGCAUAUUCUGUGAGCAGGAAAGCGGGGGACCUUCGGGCCUCGCGCUCUUGGAGCGGCCGAUGUC
rnacentral:rRNA from 1 species